GAUGAAGAACGUAGCGAAAUGCGAUACUGGGUGUGAAUUGCAGAAUCCCGUGAACCAUCGAGUCUUUGAACGCAAGUUGCGCCCGAAGCCAUCAGGUUGAGGGCACGUCUGCCUGGGCGUCACAUAUCGUUGCCCAAUGCCUAUUGCAGUGCAAUAGGCAUUUCUAGGGCGAAUGAUGGCUUCCCGUGAGCGUUGUUGCCUCGCGGUUGGUUGAAAAUCGAGUCCUUGGUAGGGUGUGCCAUGGUAGAUGGUGGUCGAGUUAGAACGAUACCGAUCAUGUGCAUGCUCCCCAAAAUAUGGCCUCUAUGACCCACACGCGUCUUUUGACGCUCAUGACGAGACCUCAGGUCAGGCGGGGCUACCCGCUGAAUUUAAGCAUAUCAAUAAGCGGAGGA
rnacentral:misc_RNA from 1 species